CCGUUGUACACACCGCCCGUCACACCAUGGGAGUUGGCUUUACCUGAAGGCGGUGCGCCAACCCGAAAGGGAGGCAGCCGACCACGGUAGGGUCAGCGACUGGGGUG
rnacentral:rRNA from 1 species